UGGGGAAUUUUGGACAAUGGGGGAAACCCUGAUCCAGCAACGCUGCGUGAAGGACGAAGUCCUUCGGGAUGUAAACUUCUUUUCUACGGGAAGAAUGGGCGCAAGCCCUUGACGGUACCGUAGGAAUAAGCCACGGCUAACUACGUGCCAGCAGCCGCGGUAAGACGUAGGUGGCGAGCGUUAUUCGGAUUCACUAGGCGUAAAGCGUGUGUAGGCGGGUUCUUAAGUCCGCUGUGAAAUCUCCUGGCUCAACCGGGAGGGGUCAGCGGAUACUGAGAGUCUUGAAUUGGGUAGGGGGGUCCGGAAUUCCUGGUGUAGCGGUGAAAUGCGCAGAUAUCAGGAGGAACACCGGCGGCGAAGGCGGGACCCUGGGCCUGGAUUGACGCUGAGACACGAAAGCUAGGGGAGCAAACAGG
rnacentral:rRNA from 1 species